UCCCCCUGGCAAUGAGUAAAGAGACAUCUUGUUAGUGGUGUUCUUAUAUCAGUCAGGGGCAGAGCAGAUGCCAGUCCUUUGUUUAUCCUAACGAUGUCUGGCUUGGUGGCCAACGAUGUCUUGUGCCUAGAACUCAUAA